CGGCAGGGGACGAAAGUUUGAUCCAGCAAUACUAGUUGAAUGAUGACGGCUAUUUUGGUUGUAAAAUUCUUUCAUUAAAAAUGAUAAUGACAUUAUUUAAAGAAGUUUUAGUCCCGGCUAAUCUCGUGCCAGCAGCCGCGGUAAUACGGGAGGGGCAAGCGUUAUUUGGAAUGACUGGGCGUAAAGGGUCCGUAGGCUGUAUUAUAAGUUAAAUGUUAAAUACUAAAGCUUAACUUUAGAAAAACAUUUAAUACUGUUAUACUUGAGUUUUAUUCAGAAAAGUAGAAUUUUAUGUUGAAGAGUAAUGACUAGAGACACAUAAAGGAAUAUCAAUAGCGAAAGCAACUUUUUAGUAAAAACUGACGUUGAGGGACGAAAGUGUAGGUAGCAAACAGAAUUAGAUACUCUGGUAGUCUACACUGUAAAUGCUGAGUGCUGUAAUUUAAGAAUUUAGAUUUUUUAAGCUAACGCUAUAAGCACUCCGCCUGAGGAGUACGGCCGCAAGGUUGGAACUCAAAGGAAUUGACGGGGGCCUACAACAAGUGGUGGAGCAUGUGGUUUAAUGCGAUAAUCCGCGCAAAACCUUACCAGUCUUUGAAUAAAUUAAUUUAUAUAAAAAAUUUAAAAUUUAUUAAAAUUUUUUUACAGGUGUUGCACGACUGUCGUCAGCUCGUGUCGUAAGAUGUUUGGUUAAUUCCUUUAACGAGCGCAACUUUUAUUUUUAUAUUAAUUUAUUUUAGUUAAAAAAUUUAUAAUCUUAUUUUUUUAAUUUUUAUAAAAAAACAGUCAAUGACAAAUUGAAGGAAGGAGAAAAUAAAGUCAAGUCACUGUGGCCCUUAUAGGCUGGGCUACACACGUGCUACAAUGAAAAUUACAGAAAGUUACAAAAGUAAAAACUUAAGUUAAUCUUUAAAAAUUUUCUAAGUUCGGAUUAUAAACUGAAACUCGUUUAUAUGAAGUUGGAAUCACUAGUAAUCGCAAAUCAGAACGUUGCGGUGAAUAUGUAUCUUGGCCUUGUACACACCGCCCGUCACACCAUGGGAG
rnacentral:rRNA from 1 species